rnacentral:sRNA from 1 species
AAUUUGCGACUGAUAAUAUUACAUUGAUGUGUUUUUCACCUUGGAGAACUGAUGUCCCCAAUCUCAUAUUCUAAGUUCUAUUUUUUUUGGUAUUGAUAAUGAAUUCGUGAAGAGUUCGAUUUGUUUCUUCUUGUCAUAAACAUUAAGCCAAUUAGCAGAGCAAGGGCGUCUAGUUUAAAUGACGUGAGUUGCCUUGAAGGUUGGCGAUAACAAGUUUUGCGAUUCUCCGUGCCUAUCAAAUUUUGUUUUUCGUAUUGAUAAUGGCCUCGAACAAGUCGCUACAUUCGUU